rnacentral:rRNA from 1 species
AACGAACGCUGGCGGCAUGCCUAACACAUGCAAGUCGAACGAGACCUUCGGGUCUAGUGGCGCACGGGUGCGUAACGCGUGGGAAUCUGCCCUUGGGUGCGGAAUAACAGUUAGAAAUGACUGCUAAUACCGCAUAAUGACUCCGGUCCAAAGAUUUAUCGCCCAAGGAUGAGCCCGCGUCGGAUUAGCUAGUUGGUGAGGUAAAAGCUCACCAAGACGACGAUCCGUAGCUGGUCUGAGAGGAUGAUCAGCCACACUGGGACUGAGACACGGCCCAGACUCCUACGGGAGGCAGCAGUGGGGAAUAUUGGACAAUGGGCGAAAGCCUGAUCCAGCAAUGCCGCGUGAGUGAUGAAGGCCUUAGGGUUGUAAAGCUCUUUUACCUGGGAAGAUAAUGACUGUACCGGGAGAAUAAGCCCCGGCUAACUCCGUGCCAGCCGCCGCCGUAAAAC